GGGGAUAUUGCUCAAUGGUAGAGUGCUUGCCCAGUAUAAGCAAGGCCCUGAGUUCAAACCCCAAUACCACCA
rnacentral:tRNA from 1 species